rnacentral:rRNA from 1 species
GUGGGGGAUAUUGCACAAUGGGGGAAACCCUGAUGCAGCGACGCCGCGUGAAGGAAGACGUACUUCGGUAUGUAAACUUCUAUCAGCAGGGAAGAAGAUGACGGUACCUGACUAAGAAGCCCCGGCUAACUACGUGCCAGCAGCCGCGGUAAUACGUAGGGGGCAAGCGUUAUCCGGAUUUACUGGGUGUAAAGGGAGCGUAGACGGUGAAGCAAGUCUGAUGUGAAAACCCGGGGCUCAACUCCGGGAUUGCAUUGGAAACUGUUUUACUUGAGUGCUGGAGGGGCAAGCGGAAUUCCUGGUGUAGCGGUGAAAUGCGUAGAUAUCAGGAAGAACACCGGUGGCGAAGGCGGCUUGCUGGACAGUAACUGACGUUGAGGCUCGAAAGCGUGGGGAGCAAACAGGAUUAGAUACCCCUAGUAGUCC